UUAUCCUUUCUUCUUCUUCCUCCCUUCUCCUUUUUCUUCAAUCGCCCCUCCCCCAACCCUCUUCUUCUUCUUCUUCUCCGACGGCGUACUCCUCACGCGACAUCAGACUGCAGCGGCAACGACUGUAGCACCCACGACGGUGUGUUUGGUUCAGCGGCAACAACUCCUUGCUCUCCUUCCGUCGGUCCACGGCAGCACGACGUCCCCCACUCCCCAAUAGUAGCGUGUUAGGACCCUUAGUAGACGUGCAAUAUCCAAGCUUACCCGUACAUGAUAAACCAUGGCGUGUAGAUCUUUAUUUUUCAAGUUAGAWCAUCAAAGUAGUGCACUUAUGGAAUUGGCUUAUGGGAACAAGUGUUCUUGCUGUUUAAGUGCGAUGCAUCUCUCUUUUCUCUCUUAGUUGAAGACAGAUCAGCAAAGAAGAAAUUGGCUUAAGGAGGGAUGAGUGGUCUUUCACGAACCCAAAGAAGUUGACAAUUAGGGAUGCAACUAAUUGAUGGAUGAGCUUUCUUGUUGGAGUUGGUAUGUGAGACUUGUUUAAUUCUGUAAUUUGUGUUUGUAGGAAUUUGAACAUGUUUACUAUAAUGUACUAGCAAGUCCGAGAAUAUUUCGAGAAUACUUUGUUCCCACUAUAUUUCAACUUUGUUAUCUAAAUUAAUGUAUUUGCGAUUUCGAUCGACAAUUUAAUUA